rnacentral:rRNA from 1 species
AGUGAACGCUGGCGGUAGGCCUAACACAUGCAAGUCGAACGGCAGCACAGUAAGAGCUUGCUCUUACGGGUGGCGAGUGGCGGACGGGUGAGGAAUACAUCGGAAUCUACUUUUUCGUGGGGGAUAACGUAGGGAAACUUACGCUAAUACCGCAUACGACCUACGGGUGAAAGCAGGGGAUCUUCGGACCUUGCGCGAUUGAAUGAGCCGAUGUCGGAUUAGCUAGUUGGCGGGGUAAAGGCCCACCAAGGCGACGAUCCGUAGCUGGUCUGAGAGGGGGAUCAGCCACACUGAAACUGAGACGCGGUCCAGGCUCCUACGGAAGGCAGCGGUGGGGAAUAUUGGCAAAUGGGGGCAAGCCUGAUCCAGCCAUGCCGCGUGGGUGAAGAAGGCCUUCGGGUUGUAAGCCCGUUUGUUGGGAAAGAAAAGCAGCAGGUUAAUACCCCGCUGUUCUGACGGUACCCAAAGAAUAAGCACCGGCUAACUUCGUG